AGAGCGAACGCUGGCGGCAGGCUUAACACAUGCAAGUCGAGCGCCCCGCAAGGGGAGCGGCAGACGGGAGAGUAACACGUGGGAACGUACCCUUUGGUUCGGAACAACCCAGGGAAACUUGGGCUAAUACCGGAUAAAGUCCGUAAGGAGAAAGAUUUAUCGCCAAUGGAUCGGCCCGCGUCUGAUUAGCUAGUUGGUGAGGUAAUGGCUCACCAAGGCGACGAUCAGUAGCUGGUCUGAGAGGAUGAUCAGCCUCACUGGGACUGAGACACGGCCCAGACUCCUACGGGAGGCAGCAGUGGGGAAUAUUGGACAAUGGGCGCAAGCCUGAUCCAGCCAUGCCGCGUGGGUGAUGAAGGCCCUAGGGUUGUAAAGCCCUUUCGGCGGGGAAGAUAAUGACGGUACCCGCAGAAGAAGCCCCGGCUAACUUCGCGCCAGCAGCCGC
rnacentral:rRNA from 1 species